AAGAUCAAUCAUUUCAAUCAUACUCAAGCAUCUCAAUAUCAUUCUUAAAGCUUGUUGUUUUUAAUCUUUGUGUUGUGUUAGAAUCAAUCACAACUGAGUUCUAUUUACAUAAUCUAUUUCUCAAACAAGAGUUGAGUAAAUACCCAAAUUCUAAACAUUCUCAAAUCCACCACUUUGUAUCUCAAGGUUAUUUUGUUAAC
rnacentral:lncRNA from 1 species